rnacentral:rRNA from 1 species
UACGUAGGGGGCAAGCGUUGUCCGGAUUUAUUGGGCGUAAAGAGCGUGUAGGCGGCUUGGUAGGUCCGCUGUGAAAACUCGAGGCUCAACCUCGAGAUGUCGGCGGAAACCACUUGGCUAGAGUCCGGAAGAGGAGAGUGGAAUUCCUGGUGUAGCGGUGAGAUGCGCAGAUAUCAGGAAGAACACCUAUGGCGAAGGCAGCUCUCUGGGACGGUACUGACGCUGAGACGCGAAAGCGUGGGGAGCGAACAGG